GAAAGCCUGCCCUGAGCCAGGCACCUAAGAAGACCUCUCCCCAGAUCUGCCCUUCUAUACAAAGUGAGAUGUCUGGGCCAAUGGAGUGCACCCCCCUAGAGCCUGCACCCUCUCAGAAAUCCCACUCUGUGUACUGAGGACCCCUGGGUUCUCUGCCCAGAUGGCCAAGAGCUUCCAGGGGAUGGAGCUUGAGCAGAUGUACUGAUUUAUCUAUGGGCAGGACUUCGAGGAGGCUUCCCUUAAUCAGAGUCUUAGCUCUCGCCUGAAGCAAAUGCAAGCCUGUCACAUCUCUGCCCUUAAAUUGAGAAUUGAAACUCCAGCCCUCCGUGUCUUAGCCCAAAUGUUGCCUUUUUGGCCUGCCUCGCCCUGCUAUCCUGUGCCCAUAUAAACCCCAGACCCCAGCUGGCAAAGAGAAAAGUGGCUGAACACCAAGAGAAGAAGCAACAGAGCAUUGGAGACUAUAGAUAGAUGUGGCUUAACUUUAGAUGGCAUGACUUCAGAGAGGAGCCCGGUCGUCUCUGGGAAAGAUCACCUUCAUCCUACACCAUCCCCUCUCCAGCUCCUGAUUCUCUGAGAGCCACUUCCACUGCUUAAUAAAAUCCUCUGCAUUCAUCACCUUUCAAACAGUUCAUGUGAUCUGAUUCUUCUGGAUGCCAAACAAGAACUUGGGUAUCAAAGGGGCAGGUGCAGAAGGCUGUCACCCUGACCUACCACUGAGCUGUCAACACUUAGCCAUCCAUAGACAGCAAAUUGUAUACAUUUGCUAAAUUUACAAAAACUAAAAUUGUAGCUAAAACUGUAACACACCCGUAGAAUGCUGCCAUGGGGCUGGAGCCCAAAAGCGCUUGGCCCGGCCCUGGCACCCAC
rnacentral:lncRNA from 10 species